CGACGGUUGGUGCUAUGCCAACCGUGGCGUUAACGGAUAACAGAGAAUCUGGGUUCGAUUCUGGAGAGGCCGCAUGAGAAACGGCGACCACUUCCAAGGAAGGCAGCAGGCACGCAAAUUACCCACUUCGGACACCGAGAGGUAGUGACGAACAAUACCGAUGCGGCGCACUUACGUGUCGCCGUAAUCGGAAUGAGUACACUUCAAAUCCUUUAACGAGGAUCCACUGGAGGGCAAGCCUGGUGCCAGCAGCCGCGGUAAUUCCAGCUCCAGCAGCGUAUAUUUAUAUUGCUGCGUUUAAAAAGCUCGUAGUUGAAGCGUCAGACGCGGGAGGGCGGACGGCCGCACUGGUCGCUCUCGCCCGACCGAGCCAGGCGCAGAGGGCGCGCGUCGCUUGCACUUCGCCGUGUGAGCGCGCCGCCGCUGCACGUUCACCUUGAAGAAAUUGAACCGCUUAGAGGGGGCGAGCAGCUUGAACAGCUCAGCAUGGUAUGAUGGAACAUGGGCUCGUACUCAUUUUGUUGGUUAGAGAGUCGGCGAGCCAAUGAUUAACAGGGACUGCCGGGGGCAUUAGUACUCGGACGGGAGAGGUGAAAUUCAAGGAUCGUCCGAAGACUCCCUACUGCGAAAGCAUUUGCCAAGAAUGUUUUCAUUAAUCAAGAACGAAAGUCAGAGGUGCGAAGGCGAUCAGAUACCGCCGUAGUUCUGACCGUAAACGUUGCCGACUGGCAAUUGGGCGCACUUCUGUCGAAGUUGCCGCCAGCAGUAUUGCCCGGGAAACCAAAGUCAUUGGGUUCCGGGGGGAGUAUGGUUGCAAAGCUGAAACUUAAAGGAAUUGACGGAAGGGCACCACCAGGAGUGGAGCCUGCGGCUUAAUUUGACUCAACACGGGAAACCUCACCCGGCCCGAACACUGUUAUGACAGACAGGUUGAGAGCUCUUUCUCGAUUCAGUGGUUGGUGGUGCAUGGCCGUUCUUAGUUCGUGGAGCGAUCUGUCUGGUUAAUUCCGAUAACGAACGAGAUUCUUGCCUGCUAAAUAGACGGCGUCGACUUUGCGCGACGGCCGUUCGCUUCUUAGAGGGACAAGCGGCUUUUAGCCGCGUGAAGCUGAGAGCAAUAACAGGUCAGUGAUGCCCUCAGAUGUUCGGGGCCGCACGCGCGCUACACUGUUUGCAUCAGCGUGUUUCUCCCGCGCCGGCCGGCGCGGGCAACCCGUUGAACCGCAAACGUGCUAGGGAUCGGAGAUUGCAAUUGUUCUCCGUGAACGAGGAAUUCCUUGUACUGGCGAGUCAUCAGCUCGCGGGGAAUCUGUCCCUGCCCUUUGUACACACCGCCCGUCGCUACUACCGAUUGAGUGGUUUAGUGAGGCUCACGGACUGCGAGCGGCA
rnacentral:rRNA from 1 species